rnacentral:rRNA from 1 species
GAAGGGACCUAGCGUAGUUCGGAAUUACUGGGCUUAAAGAGUUCGUAGGUGGUUGAAAAAGUUGGUGGUGAAAUCCCAGAGCUUAACUCUGGAACUGCCAUCAAAACUUUUCAGCUAGAGUAUGAUAGAGGAAAGCAGAAUUUCUAGUGUAGAGGUGAAAUUCGUAGAUAUUAGAAAGAAUACCAAUUGCGAAGGCAGCUUUCUGGAUCAUUACUGACACUGAGGAACGAAAGCAUGGGUAGCGAAGAGGAUUAGAUACCCUCGUAGUCCAUGCCGUAAACAGUGUGUGU